AUGUUGGACUCUGUCAUCGUCUGUGCCCGUAAUGAUGGACAUAUGACUGUGUAUGAAGAACUAUGCAUUGCUUCACAGCCUCCUUACCACAGCUGCAGAAAGGCACAGGGAGGGUGGCGGCAUGAUCAAAUGUGCCCACUUCCAGGGACAGUGAAAACAAAUGAUGCAAAAUGGUCUAUCCUGGACAGACUUCAGGCAGCUCUGAGCAGGAUGAUAGCUUAAGCCUUUAGGCUUACAGAGAUUUUGUGAUCUUUGCCCCCACUCAUAUUGCAUCAGUGUCCAGUGCUGGAUGGCAGACCAGACCUUUGCGUUCAGCAGCAGCCAAGUCUUGCCCUGCAGGUAGUGACCUUCAGUACAGCUGAGUUGGAGGCUGUUGUUCAAAUGGAUGAGGGCUGACCUGGAUUGUCUUUUUAACUCAGCAUCUUACAUCUCAGCCUAUGAAACUGUGACAAGAGCAGCGCAAGCCAGAGAGUCAUUAUAACGAGUCUCAAUGUAUGCAAGCUUCAGAAGAGGGGCCAGUGUCAUGACGUAGCAGAGAAAGUGUCCACUUGCUGAACUGACUUCCCAUAUAGGCACUGGUUCAAGUCCCAGAAUCCACUCUCUAAACUUUGUUCACACGGAGGCGUUGAUGACUAGUGACUGUCUAGCACAGCUAUACUCAUUAAAGUGUGAGGUUUGCCUGCCGUGGUGAUUGGAUUCACAUGGAGCAAGUGACUUCUCAACGUUCAACAAAGCUCUGCCUGUGAAUUGC